rnacentral:rRNA from 1 species
AGUGAACGCUGGCGGUAGGCCUAACACAUGCAAGUCGAACGGCAGCACAGUAAGAGCUUGCUCUUACGGGUGGCGAGUGGCGGACGGGUGAGGAAUACAUCGGAAUCUACUUUUUCGUGGGGGAUAACGUAGGGAAACUUACGCUAAUACCGCAUACGACCUACGGGUGAAAGCAGGGGAUCUUCGGACCUUGCGCGAUUGAAUGAGCCGAUGUCGGAUUAGCUAGUUGGCGGGGUAAAGGCCCACCAAGGCGACGAUCCGUAGCUGGUCUGAGAGGAUGAUCAACCAAAAUGGAACUGAGAAACGGUCCAAAAUCCUAGGGGAGGCAGGAGGGGGGAAUAUUGGAAAAGGGGGGGAAGCCUGAUCCAGCCAUACGGGGGGGGGGAAGAAGGCCUUGGGGUGGUAAAGCCCUUUUGGGGGGAAAAAAAAGCAGCAGGUUAAUACCCCUGUGUUCUGAGGGGACCCAAAGAAUAAGCACCGGCUAACUUCGU